rnacentral:rRNA from 1 species
AGCGAACGCUGGCGGCAGGCCUAACACAUGCAAGUCGAACGAAGCCUUCGGGCUUAGUGGCGGACGGGUGAGUAACACGUGGGAACGUACCUUUUGGUUCGGAAUAACGCAGAGAAAUUUGCGCUAAUACCGAAUGAGCCCUUCGGGGGAAAGAUUUAUCGCCGAAAGAUCGGCCCGCGUUGGAUUAGGUAGUUGGUGUGGUAAAGGCGCACCAAGCCUACGAUCCAUAGCUGGUCUGAGAGGAUGAUCAGCCACACUGGGACUGAGACACGGCCCAGACUCCUACGGGAGGCAGCAGUGGGGAAUCUUGCGCAAUGGGCGAAAGCCUGACGCAGCCAUGCCGCGUGAAUGAUGAAGGUCUUAGGAUUGUAAAAUUCUUUUACCAGGGACGAUAAUGACGGUACCUGGAGAAAAAGCCCCGGCUAACUUCGUGCCAGCAGCCGCGGUAAAAC